rnacentral:rRNA from 1 species
UACGGAGGGUGCAAGCGUUGUUCGGAAUCAUUGGGCGUAAAGCGCGCGUAGGCGGUUCGGCAAGUCGGAUGUGAAAGCCUCGGGCUCAACCCGAGAAGUGCAUUCGAAACUGCCGAACUUGAGUACGGGAGAGGGAGGUGGAAUUCCCAGUGUAGAGGUGAAAUUCGUUGAUAUUGGGAGGAACACCGGUGGCGAAAGCGGCCUCCUGGACCGAUACUGACGCUAAGGCGCGAAAGCGUGGGGAG